GUAUCGCUGGGGAAUGAUCUAGGAUGCCUGACGUCCCAAUUGGCAGCCUGCAGUCCCGAAGGAGCACUACCUGUUACCACCAGGCAGCAAUCCAGAGCCUCCCCCUCAACCCAUGACCAGGUAAGCGAUAACCCUCUGACGAUUCCCCCUGACCAUACUUCUUAAUGGGGUACCCCUCAAGACUUUGAGCAAGCGCAACGGGAAGAUCCCACCUUAAAAGGGUAUCGGAGGGAGGCAGAACAACCCCAGGGAGACAGAGAUCAGGCAAGGUUUAGCUGGGAAAAG